GACGAACGCUGGCGGCGUGCUUAACACAUGCAAGUCGAACGGUAAGGCCCUUCGGGGUACACGAGUGGCGAACGGGUGAGUAACACGUGGGUGAUCUGCCCUGCACUUCGGGAUAAGCCUGGGAAACUGGGUCUAAUACCGGAUAGGACCACUGCCUGCAUGGGUGGUGGUGGAAAGCUUUUGCGGUGUGGGGAUGGGCCCGCGGCCUAUCAGCUUGGGGGUGGGGUGAUGGCCUACCAAGGCGACGACGGGUAGCCGGGCGGGGAGGGGGACCGGCCACACUGGGACGGAGAUACGGCCCAGACUCCUACGGGAGGCAGCAGUGGGGAAUAGUGCACAAUGGGCGCAAGCCUGAUGCAGCGACGCCGCGUGGGGGAUGACGGCCUUCGGGUUGUAAACCUCUUUCAGCACCGACGAAGCGCAAGUGACGGUAGGUGCAGAAGAAGGACCGGCCAACUACGUGCCAGCCGCCGCAGUAA
rnacentral:rRNA from 1 species